AUUGAACGCUGGCGGCAGGCCUAACACAUGCAAGUCGAGCGGAUGAAGGGAGCUUGCUCCUGGAUUCAGCGGCGGACGGGUGAGUAAUGCCUAGGAAUCUGCCUGGUAUUGGGGGAUAACGUCCGGAAACGGGCGCUAAUACCGCAUACGUCCUGAUGGAGAAAGUGGGGGAUCUUCGGACCUCACGCUAUCAGAUGAGCCUAGGUCGGAUUAGCUAGUUGGUGGGGUAAAGGCCUACCAAGGCGACGAUCCGUAACUGGUCUGAGAGGAUGAUCAGUCACACUGGAACUGAGACACGGUCAAGACUCCUACGGGAGGCAGCAGUGGGGAAUAUUGGACAAUGGGCGAAAGCAUGAUACAGCCAUGCCGCGUGUGUGAAGAAGGUCUUCGGAUUGUAAAGCACUUUAAGUUGGGAGGAAGGGCAGUAAGUUAAUACCUUGCUGUUUUGACGUUACCAACAGAAUAAGCACCGGCUAACUUCGUG
rnacentral:rRNA from 1 species